UGAUUCCUUCAGGCCUGACGGCUUGGUA
rnacentral:sRNA from 1 species